ANGCAGCCAUGCCGCGAUGCAAUGAUGAAGGUCUUAGGAUUGUAAAAUUCUUUCACCGGGGACGAUAAUGACGGUACCCGGAGAAGAAGCCCCGGCUAACUUCGUGCCAGCAGCCGCGGUAAUACGAAGGGGGCUAGCGUUGCUCGGAAUUACUGGGCGUAAAGGGCGCGUAGGCGGAUCGUUAAGUCAGAGGUGAAAUCCCAGGGCUCAACCCUGGAACUGCCUUUGAUACUGGCGAUCUUGAGUGUGAGAGAGGUAUGUGGAACUCCGAGUGUAGAGGUGAAAUUCGUAGAUAUUCGGAAGAACACCAGUGGCGAAGGCGACAUACUGGCUCAUUACUGACGCUGAGGCGCGAAAGCGUGGGGAGCAAACAGGAUUAGAUACCCUGGUAGUCCACGCCGUAAACGAUGAUUGCUAGUUGUCGGGCUGCAUGCAGUUCGGUGACGCAGCUAACGCAUUAAGCAAUCCGCCUGGGGAGUACGGUCGCAAGAUUA
rnacentral:rRNA from 1 species